rnacentral:rRNA from 1 species
UACGUAGGGGGCAAGCGUUGUCCGGAUUUAUUGGGCGUAAAGAGCGUGUAGGCGGCCAGAUAGGUCCGUUGUGAAAACUGGAGGCUUAACCUCCAGCGGUCGAUGGAAACCAUUUGGCUAGAGUCCGGAAGAGGAGAGUGGAAUUCCUGGUGUAGCGGUGAAAUGCGCAGAUAUCAGGAGGAACACCUAUUGCGAAGGCAGCUCGCUGGGACGUAACUGACGCU